GGGCACUUGGCACAGUGGUAGCGCGCACGCUUCGCAUUUCGGGGGCUCCAACCCCGGUCAUAUGACUUGCGUGAGGUCCAGGGUUCAAUCCCCUGAGUGUCCA